AUCUUAAUAGUGAUAAUAAUCAUUUGUAGUUUCGACCUACAAGAUAACAAAGAUGUUUUAAGAUU
rnacentral:tRNA from 1 species